AUUGAGACACAUGAUAUGAAUGUUAAAUACAUAAGUUGCUGAUAGCGGUAAGUGUGAAAUAAAGUAGAUAUAGUUGUGGCUAAAAGAAAAUUAACAAAAGCAAAGACUAGAAGAAGAACUGCAUUACUGAGAACCACAAAAUAUAAGAAUGGGACAGUUGAUGACCAAAAAUUAAAAGAUAAUUGUCAUUAACAAGAUCAUGACCAUAAAUAUUGUACUUAGUAAAAAAUUCCUGCUCAAACCACCAAAAUAAAGGCCAUACCACAAUACCAAUAAAACUGUACAAAGAACCUACACCUAUUUUGAACAGAGCAAAAUAAAGGCAUUUUCAAAAUAUCUAUCCAAAUGCAUACCAAAUAUAAGUUUGUACGUUAUAUCAUCUUAAACAUAACCUACUCCCAAAAUCCUAAAACCCUACAGUAAAAAACUUAAUACCCUAGCCCAAACCUAAUACCCUUAACUAACAGUCAACUUCAUAUAAUGGAGCGGACAAGGCCAAUCAUCUGUGAAUCUGACAAGCCCCAGAAGUGUGCAUACACGUUAGGACUUUUAGCAAACUUCAAAAUCACCCUCACCACCUCGUCAUCACUGAACCCAAGCUGUGUGAGCUUCUCGCCAACCUUCCACUUCUCGUUUACUCCAACAAUGGCAUCAGCUAUCAGUUGUGCAUUCUUCCUUUGGUCAGCUGAAGAUUGCUGAAUAUGGUCGGCCAUCCUCUCCAGUACGUCAAGUUGUUUUCUCUUUCUCCCAUAUCGCCUUGUGCUUCCUGCACUCGCACCUGCUUCAGAUUGUGAACCUUAUCCUUGCAUUGCUGGCCCUCCACCGUUGUCUGGAUGUGGAGACAUAUCAGACUCAUCAAAUCCAACUGCAGUGUCUUCUGUCUCUUUGUUAACAUGUUCCUCCGCAUCAAAACCACUAACUGCUGCUACUCCUGUGGCUCUAUCCCUGCCAAAUAUACCCUCCAGUCGGUGAAAAAGAGGAAAUGGCUUGCCAUGACUGUAGAACUUGGUCAGAUGUGCCUCAAAACGCAAAUGCCGUAACCCCAAUUCGAUUAACUUUUUAUCUUGUCUUGAUGAACACAACAAGAUCAUGCCAUACACAUAUUUUGCUUCUUUAUGACCCUCUUUAGCCGCCAUAUCCAAAAGUCUAAGACCUUUGGCGUUCCCAUUCCCUAAGUAUUCUCGCAAUCCUUCUCUAUACAAGCUCUCUGUGUUUUGAUUUUCCUUGCAACGCUUCAAGAAUGACAAUUCUUUAUCAUUAGAAGACCUUGGGAUAAAGGAGAGUUUGUCCAGAGAGACUCGUCGAUAAACAUAGUUGUCUUCCGCAGCUUCAAGAAGAUCCUUGCAACUCUUCUUCACGUUGUGGAGGUCAAUGAAUGAAUGAGAGGCUACACUUGCAACUAUCUCUACCAAUAAUUCUUUUGG